GCUCUAUCUUUAAUACUAAAAAAGUUAUGCAAAAUUUACGAUAUUAUAAAGUACAUGUUAAUGGUGAAAAACCGAAAUUUCGAUUUUUUUCAAAAACUACAAUUCUUUUAGUUUUUUAUUAUUACGUACAAGGUGCCCCUUUGCAAGGAGUACUUGAUAGUUUUUAAAUGAAGGCUCUAUCUUUAAUACCAAAAAAGUUAUGCAAAAUUUACGAUAUUAUAAAGUACAUGUUAAUGGUGAAAAACCGAAAUUUCGAUUUUUUUCAAAAACUACAAUUCUUUUAGUUUUUUAUUAUUAUGUACAAGGUGCCCCUUUGCAAGGAGUACUUGAUAGUUUUUAAAUGAAGGCUCUAUCUUUAAUACCAAAAAAGUUAUGCAAAAUUUACGAUAUUAUAAAGUACAUGUUAAUGGUGAAAAACCGAAAUUUCGAUUUUUUUCAAAAACUACAAUUCUUUUAGUUUUUUAUUAUUAUGUACAAGGUGCCCCUUUGCAAGGAGUACUUGACAGUUUUUAAAUGAAGGCUCUAUCUUUAAUACUAAAAAAGUUAUGCAAAAUUUACGAUAUUAUAAAGUACAUGUUAAUGGUGAAAAACCGAAAUUUCGAUUUUUUUCAAAAACUACAAUUCUUUUAGUUUUUUAUUAUUAUGUACAAGGUGCCCCUUUGCAAGGAGUACUUGACAGUUUUUAAAUGAAGGCUCUAUCUUUAAUACUAAAAAAGUUAUGCAAAAUUUACGAUAUUAUAAAGUACAUGUUAAUGGUGAAAAACCGAAAUUUCGAUUUUUUUCAAAAACUACAAUUCUUUUAGUUUUUUAUUAUUACGUACAAGGUGCCCCUUUGCAAGGAGUACUUGACAGUUUUUAAAUGAAGGCUCUAUCUUUAAUACCAAAAAAGUUAUGCAAAAUUUACGAUAUUAUAAAGUACAUGUUAAUGGUGAAAAACCGAAAUUUCGAUUUUUUUCAAAAACUACAAUUCUUUUAGUUUUUUAUUAUUAUGUACAAGGUGCCCCUUUGCAAGGAGUACUUGACAGUUUUUAAAUGAAGGCUCUAUCUUUAAUACUAAAAAAGUUAUGCAAAAUUUACGAUCUUAUAAAGUACAUGUUAAUGGUAAAAAACCGAAAUUUCGAUUUUUUUCAAAAACUACAAAUCUUUUAGUUUUUUAUUAUUACGUACAAGGUGCCCCUUUGCAAGGAGUACUUAACAGUUUUUAAAUGA